rnacentral:rRNA from 1 species
UACAGAGGGGGCAAGCGUUGUUCGGAAUUACUGGGCGUAAAGGGCGCGUAGGCGGCCCGCUAAGUCGAACGUGAAAUCCCCGAGCUCAACUCGGGAACUGCGUCCGAUACUGGCGGGCUUGAAUCCGGGAGAGGGAUGCGGAAUUCCAGGUGUAGCGGUGAAAUGCGUAGAUAUCAGGAGGAACACCGGUGGCGAAGGCGGGUCUCUGGGCCGAUAUCGACGCUGAGGAGCGAAAGCGUGGGGAGCGAACAGG